GUUUCCAGCAAGGGAAUAAGAGAGGCCUAGGAAGGAAACUGCCCACCCUAGGGCCUCAGGGAGCAGAAUUGGAACACCUCCACCAUGGCCUGGACCCCUCUCCUCCUCGGAUUCCUGGCUCACUGCACAGGUUCCAUGGCUGCCUAUGUAGUGACUCAGCCCCCCUUAGUGUCAGUGACCCCGGGACAGACGGCCAGCAUCACCUGUGGGGGAGACAACAUUGCAAGUAGAUAUGUUUCUUGGCACCAGCAGAAGCCAGGCCAGACACCCGUGACGAUUAUCAAUGGUAAUAACAACCAGCCCUCAGGGAUCCCUGAGCAAUUCUCCGGCUCCAAGUCAGGGAACAUGGCCACCCUAACCAUCAGCGGGGUGCAGGCCAAAGACGAGGCCGACUAUUACUGUCUACCAUAUCAGGGUGGUAGUUACACAUCACAGUGACACAGGCAGAUGGGGAAAUGAGACAUAAACCCCUUCCCCAUCUGUGUCACCCUCUCCUCCAUCAGCAGGAGGCCUGUGCACAAACCAACGAGCAGGUGUGAUCCAGGUCCCUGGGUCUGAGGUUGUAGGCUGCUCCCGCCUCCCUGCCCUGCAGACUAGCUCCAUAGAGGAUGGAUGGGGGAAACAUACAAAUUA